rnacentral:rRNA from 1 species
CCCUUAGAUGUCCUGGGCAGCACGCGCGCUACAAUGGUCUUCGCAAACGGAUGCAUUCUCGAAGGAGAAUGCCAAUCUUGGAAUCUAUGCCUUGGUCGGGACAGUUGCUUGCAAUUUUUCGACUCGAACCAGGAAUUCCUUGUAAUCGUGAUUCAUCACAUCACGAUGAAUACGUCCCUGCCCUUUGUACACACCGCCCGUCGCUCCUACCGAUCGAAGAGUUAGGUGAAUUGUUUUGAUCGAUAAGAUUUGACUAUGGUCAACUCUCGUUGUGAAAUUCUGUGAAUCUGACUGUUUAGAGGAAGGAAAAGUCGUAACA